UAGAUAAUUUGGGCUUAAUACCCUUACAAUUACAAUAUUCAAUAUAGUGAUAUUUAUAAAAAUAACUAUAUAUUUGUGCAUAUAUAUAUAUAUAUGUAUAUAUAUAAUAAAAGUAUUCGAGCCGAACCAAGUCGAGCGAACCUUUGCUCGUGCUUGGCUCGUUUACAAACCGAACCGAGCCGGUCGGCUCGUUUACAACCGAGUGAAAAAUCGAGCGAGCAUUUUUCCAGCAAUUUCCGAGCAAGCGACGAGCGAGCGGUGAGCGACGAGCACUUUGCCUAGCCCUACCCGACGGUGAUCCCAUGUUUCUUCACUGGCGCCCACCAUAUUUCCAUCUAUUGUUUGCAACAAUCACAUCUUUUCUCUACUUAAUCUCAGAUCUAUGCUUUUCAUGAAGGGUUUUCAAGAUUACACCUUGAGAUUUGUUCGGUUAAUGCUAAAAAAAAGAUAAACAAAGAUAAAUAUUUUCCAGAUAUGUUCCGUUGGGGCGCUCAAGACAUGGUCGUCUCCGAAAAUCUUCGAAAAUUUGUGGGUCCUGUGCGAAGAUAAAAUACGGGACCCUAAAAUACAAACUUUUAGAAAAUACACAAAUUUAUUUAGAAAACACACAGAGUUGAAAGAAAAAAAUAACAUAAUAAGAUUUUUUUCAUAAAAGAAAUGGAACACACAACUAGUUGUAGAUUGAAUAAUAUUUUUAGAAAUUAACAUAAAUAAUCAUUUUUAAACUAGAUUUGAGAAGUAACUAUGGUUCCCAUUUUGAUUCAAUGUAACACAAAUUAGUCAAUUAAUGUCAUUUGCAUUUAAUGUAUAAGUAACAAAUAUUAAGAAAAAAAAAUCAACUAAAAUUGAAGCUAUCAAGAGUAGAACUCAAUGUCUGCUUGCUAUUAAAGUGACAUGGGAACCACCAGACCAUGCGCCUCAUCAUGUCAUUUUCCAAUUAAGUACUUAUAUAUUUUAAGUUCUAUAACGUAACUUUAGUAAAAAAAAAUCCGGGCCCCGGAGGGUUUGGGCCCUGAUUAGGCUAUAAUAUGCACAAAGGAUUGGUUAUAUGGAGAUCGUUGUAAUGUCCAUUUUCCUUGUGUUUUGUAAGGUUUUUAUAACAUAAUAUUACAUUAAUAAUAUAUGUUUGUUUGUAUUUUGUAGGUUCUAACGAAGUUAAUUUAGAGGAGCUCACUGAAUGUAUAAUGUCGCUUGAUAUUAGUCGAGAAUCAAAUGCUUCAAACUCAAUAAACAAUCCUAAGGUAACUACUCCAAAUGCUUCGAGUAGUGUUGCUUGCUAAAAAACAGUGAACAUUGAUAAGGUUUGAACUGUUAGAAUUUAUUAGAAAAAAAUAAAGUUCAUUUAUAAUUGUUUAGAGAAGUGAUGGCGUAUAUGCCCUCUAUUACACCAAAAUGUAACCGAAAAAGUGGAUGUGGUUAGUGAGUGACUUUUUUUUUAAUUUAAUAAGGUCAAAUUUACGGGACUAAUACGGAUAAACUGAAAGUCGAUAACCGUCUACAAUUUGAGGGAAAUUAAUAAUAAGAUCAAACUUAAGGGACUAAUACGGAUAAAUUGAAAGUCUAAAACCGUCAACAAUUUGGGGGAAAUAAAGGCGGUUUGGGGGUACACUGAAUUCCAAAAUCGAACUCUCUAAAAUGGCGACGCUACGAAAUCUCGCCAGAUACUUUCAAGUCCGUCGAAUCUGCUCUCGCCGAUCACAACCUCCGGAACCUGCAUAUCAGUUGAAGAAGAUGACUGAAUCACCUCUGAAUGACGGCAAUAGAUACAAUUCGGUCUAUAAAAGUUCACAUAUACUGGAAACUGCACAUCAAUUGGAGAGGAAGAUGGCUGAAUCACCUCACGGCAGAUACAAUUUGGUAGAUAAACGUGAGCAAUUUGUCCAAUGUGAUUCGAUUUUUUAAAUGUUGCUUUGUAAUGUUGAUUUUAUUUGCCUUUUUAUAUUUUUUAAUUGUUUUAGAUUCGUUUUUCAUACUGUAAUGUUAAA